rnacentral:tRNA from 1 species
UGGAUCACCUCCUAACAGGGAGACAACAAAAUGUUUAAUAUUAUUAUUUUGUCACCUUAGGUCGAUCGGUAUCUCACGUUUUUAAUUUAUUAAGAAUUUCAUUUCCUAAGUUUUUUCUAGGUCACACCCAUUAUUUUUCCUGGGCCAUUAGCUCAGGUGGUUAGAGCGCACCCCUGAUAAGGGUGAGGUCCCUGGUUCAAGUCCAGGAUGGCCCAUAUCUCUAUGUUGGGGGUAUAGCUCAGUUGGUAGAGCGCCUGCUUUGCAAGCAGGAUGUCAGCGGUUCGAGUCCGCUUACCUCCACUGAUUACCACCUCUUCCAUAAUCUAUGAGAAGGAAAUGUUUUGAGUAGUGAUCAAAUUCUGAACGAAGCUAGCUUCCUAAUGAAAUCAUUAAGAUGCUGGACUCAUUGAAUUAAUUUCAUUGUUUUCAGAGAACCUUGACAACUGCAUAGAUUAUUUUUAAAGACAAUAAGCAUCUUUAAUGAUGCAGAUUUAUUAUUUGUGCGAAUGCAUUAAUAACAAUUCUAUUAAGCUGAUGCUUCAAUUUUUGAAGUUAUUGGUCAAGCUACAAAGGGCUCACGGAGGAUACCUAGGCACACAGAGGCGAUGAAGG